AUUCUGGAUGGAGUUUCUAUUGAGCUGCUUUUCUAAAAGGGUUGUUCUGAGGACCAAAUGAGGGGGCAUUGACAAAAUUAUGGUGAUGUACAAAUGAAUGCUGUUAUUAUGGUAGCAUCUAGUACACAGGGAAAGUGUCCUGAGUCGUAAGGCAUACCUGCUUUUGGAAUUGCUGUGUUAUUUAGCAUUUUGAUGAUUUAGGCCAAGUCACCGCAAUCUUGAGCUUUAUUUCUCUCACCUAAAUAAGAUAAUAAUCUCUCCCAGAGUUGUGAGAAUUAUGUUAGCUGUAGAUGCUAUUUUUAAAUUUUUAUAAAAUAGUGAUCAUCUGGGAAUUAUAAUGUCAUCUUGAACAGAUUUUGGAAAGUUGGGAAAGAAAUAACCAGAGGCUUCUAAUCUGUUCCCAAAUAUCUUAGCAAGAUAAAUAAUCCAAAGAAUACUAGAAUGUUAGUGCUAGAAGGACCCUUGAAGGUCACCUGUCUUAUCCUCCUCAUUUUAAGACAGAGGAUUGCCUCCUAAUCAUAAUUUUGUCAUUUCUGCCAUGUAUUAUGUGCAUAUAACACUGUCACCAGCAUCAUCAAUAGUAAAGGAUGGCAAUUGUUACUCAAUCUUGAUAGAUACAGAUUUUUAAAAGUGCAGAGUCAGAGAAGAAUUCUGCUUGGAGAUAGUAUCGUGUUGUGAAAAGAACCUGGGUUUUGUUGUUGGAAGUUAAGAUGGUAUCUUGAUCCUUUCAGUUACUAGUUUGGAGACAGUGGGACAUUCACUUAGUGUUUGGUGUAGUGUAGCUCCUUAACUAUCCUAUUUCUUUAGCUGUCACGUAGGUAUAGACAUAUUAUACCUUAGCCAUUUCCACAUGUGAUUUUCUGGAUUUGAAAUGAAUUUACUUUUUAUGCUAUUUAUAUUAAUGAUUCUUUUUUGUUGUUUUGUUUUUAACUCAGUGAAUUUUAUUACUUUUACAGUAUAUUAAUGGUUCUUGACCUUUUCUCCCUUGUCUCAUGCAAAUACAAUAGAUUCUUUCUAUUGUGUUGGAAAGGUGGAGUUGGAACAAAGCAGAAUCUUGGAACUGUGGGUUAGGUGUAGUUAGAAAAGACUUCUCUUUAAGGCUGGUUUAGGGACUUAAACAUAGAGCUAUUCUGUUAAGCCAUUUUUUUGUCAGCUUUUUUCCUUACAUGAUUGCAUUUAAAUUUAUAUGUGUUGGUUUUGCUUAUAUUAGAGUUUACAUGUAUUUGGAAAAUUCAUUAGAAAGUUAAUGGGCAGUGUUUUAAUAUGAAAUUUUAAAAUACUAUUAAGUGUUUUCCUUUGAGAAGAGCUCUUCAAAAGAAAGUGCAAGAAAAUAAUGUUUUAUCACUGAAGAACAAGUACAGAGAAUGUUUAUGUUUAUAAUCAAGAAUAGUGACCUUAGUAUACUUUUUAGAGCACACCAUUAAGAGAUUCCAUAGUUUAUAUUUUCAUGAUAGUAAGUUUGGUAUUUUUUUAUUAAGAAUAUUUUCAUUCUUACUUGAUAUCCUGGAGAUACAAAGUUUAUACUUAGGGAGUUACCAUUGUGGCACAGCGAAAUAAAUCCAACUAGUACCCAUGAGGGUUCGAUCCCUGGCCUCAUCAGUGGGUCAUGUAUCUGGCAUUGCCAUGAGUUGUAGCAUAGGUCGCAGAUGUGGCUUGGAUCCUGCGUUGUUGAGUGUGGUGUGGCCAAGUUGCUGUAGCUCUGAUUUGACCCCUAGCCUGGGAACUUCCAUAUGCCACGGGUGUGGCCCUAAAAACCAAAAAAAAAAAAAAAAAAGAAAAAAAA
rnacentral:lncRNA from 1 species